CCGCGGUAAUUCCAGCUCCAAUAGCGUAUAUUAAAGUUGUUGCGGUUAAAAAGCUCGUAGUUGGAUUUCUGCUGAGGGCGUCCGGUCCGCAUUUUGUGCGUGUAUCUGGUUCGGCCUUGGCAUCCUCUUGAAGUUUGUCGGUGCGCUUGAUUGCGUGGCGCGAAAUUCAGGACAUUUACUUUGAGGAAAUUAGAGUGUUCACGGCAGGCAAACGCCCUGAAUACAUUAGCAUGGAAUAAUAGUAUCGGACCUUGGUUCUAUUUUGUUGGUUUCUGGAGCCACGGUAAUGAUUAAUAGGGAUAAUUGGGGGCAUUCGUAUUAACACGUCAGAGGUGAAAUUCUUGGAUUGUGUUACGACGCACUACUGCGAAAGCAUUUGCCAAGGAUGUUUUCAUUGAUCAAGAACGAAAGUAAGGGGAUCGAAGACGAUUAGAUACCGUCCUAGUCUUUACCAUAAACUAUGCCAACUAGAGAUUGGAGGUCGUUUCUUUAUGACUCCUUCAGCACCUUAGGAGAAAUCAAAGUCUUUGGGUUCCGGGGGGAGUAUGGUCGCAAGGCUGAAACUUAAAGGAAUUGACGGAAGGGCACCACCAGGAGUGGAGCCUGCGGCUUAAUUUGACUCAACACGGGAAAACUUACCAGGUCCAGACAUAGUAGGGAUUG
rnacentral:rRNA from 1 species